rnacentral:tRNA from 1 species
AGUUUGGAGGGCAAAUGGCUUGCCGACGGUCUCCAAAGCCGUUCUCAUGAGGUUCGAUUCCUCCCACCCUU